CUUGUACUCCCUCCGUCCGAAAAUACUUGUCAUUGAAAUGGAUGUAUAUAGAUGUAUUUUAGUUCUAGACACAUCCAUUUUGAUGACAAGUAAUUCCGGACAGAGGGAGUACUUG
rnacentral:pre_miRNA from 1 species